rnacentral:rRNA from 1 species
GUACGUUGACGUCCGUGGCACGAGACGACGCUGGCGGCGUGCCUAAUACAUGCAAGUCGAGCGGGGUUCGGCGAGCCUUCGGGCUUGCCCGGACCAGCGGCGGACGGGUGAGUAACACGUGGGCAACCUGCCCGCAGGACCGGGAUAACUGGCGGAAACGUCGGCUAAUACCGGAUACGACGGCCUGCUCGCAUGAGGGGGCCGUGAAAGGCGCAAUUGCGCCGCCUGCGGAUGGGCCCGCGGCGCAUUAGCUAGUUGGCGGGGUAACGGCCCACCAAGGCGACGAUGCGUAGCCGGCCUGAGAGGGUGAUCGGCCACACUGGGACUGAGACACGGCCCAGACUCCUACGGGAGGCAGCAGUAGGGAAUCUUCGGCAAUGGACGAAAGUCUGACCGAGCAACGCCGCGUGAGUGAGGAAGGUCUUCGGAUCGUAAAGCUCUGUUGCCAGGGAAGAACGGGCAGGGGAGUGGAAAGCCCCUGUCGUGACGGUACCUGAGAAGAAAGCCCCGGCUAACUACGUG